AACGGAUUAGGCUUAGAUGGUUUUAGACUUUAUUGCACUAGACGGUAGAGUAGUGCGUAGUGUAAGUACAUAGUGUAAGUGUACAGUACUUCAUUAAGGACACUACUUUAAUAUUUACUCUCCGAAGUGUGUUUUCAGUACAGAAGUAAUGUAAUGAGUAAACGCACCGUGCAGACCAACUAAUCGAAAAUGAGAUUCGUUUCCAACGAUUUUCAUAAUCGAUUAUUAUCGAUUAGUUGUUGCAGCUCUAAAUAUGAUAUAACAUUUGCAAUCACUGUGAUGGAGAAAAUAUGGAAUGCAAAGUGCAAUCUUCUUUAUUGAUCUAUUUGUUUAUAUCCCUAUUCCAUUCAUUUCUAUGAUUUAGUCAUCUGGUGGGCGUGGUUGAGUGCGCAGGUGCGUCAUUCAAACCGAGCGAGAUGACCGUUGAGAAUCAGCGCGAGACAGCUCCUUUCAGGGUGGUUCCUACUAGGUCUGCUAAUGGGACCGCCCUCCUGACUGGCUGCCUAUAAAGUCACCCGCUCCAGCGGUGCUGAGCAGCGAGAUGUCACAGAGAAGAGUGUGUCCAGUUUGUCGGCGUUUCUACACCAACGUGCAGGCUCAUCUCGCCCAGAUUCAUCAGCAGGGUCCAGAGGAAUGCUGGCUUCACCUGGCGGCAGCGAGCGAGCGGGUGAUAUGCGGGUGCUCUGGACUGCCCGGUGUCUGCAUGUGGCAAGAAAGGUUUCCGCCGGCUAGACUGCCACCUGUUCCACCUUCACCAGCUCGCCGGGGACACGGUCAGGAAGCUACUGCUCAGCGCCAAAAUAAAGCUGCUCGACAACAACUGCAAGCUUUCGGUGAGGCGAAGAAAUCUAAAAGUUGCAAAUGUUCUGAACUGAUCGAAAAGUAGCAAAACUCUCCGCAGAAUUUGAGCGGCUGCAAGCGCUAGUAGCCCGGAAAGAGUAGUGGCUCUGUGGGUGAGUACCUAAACUAUCUCUAGGCCUAUUUUUAUUGUGUGUGGGCGGCGGACUCCAGGUGGUCGCCCGGGGUGGACGUCCCAGGAUGAAAUUUGUUUUUCUUUCACUGAUCCCCCCCCUUUUUUUUUCUCUUUUCCAGAGCCAAUGUUAAGUGUACACGGCUUGGCUGACAAGCCUCAGAUAUGUCCCCAAAGCCGCGGCCAACGGCAAGCAGGAGAGGAGACACGUCGAGGGCUUCCUUCACUUUAUGUGGGCCAACGCAGACAGUCCCCUGGCAGCUGCUGGCUCAUUACCCAAAAACACUUAAAAUUUAACAUAGAAGCCAAUACUCACAUCAACCUCUGAACCCAGUUGGAGAUAGAAAAAAAGACACCAGCCGUGAGUGAGAAGAAGCAAGGGUCCAGAUUUAUUGUUCCGUUCCACCACACGAGAUCCACACCGAUGAGAAUUCUCAGAAGUGAUCUGAUACCCUGAGCUUAAGCUCCAGUAUUUAUACUGUAAUUACACAGUAAAUAACCCAUAUGUUUCAAGAAGACUAUGAUCUCAAUACCAAUAGGGUUAAAAAAGAGCUAUUCAACUUACCAUUAGCUCAAAAAACAGGGCUUUUCAACUUACAAAUAUAAUCAAAACCAGUAGCUUGACUCAGCUACCCUUAUAAAUGGCUCCUCAUGGUUUUCUCUUAAAAUUAAGGCCUUCCUUGCGAGACAAGAAUCUUCACCAUCUGAAUUAUGAGUGCCCAUCGUCAUUCCUUCUUCUCCCCUUUACUGGAUCUGGAUCUGGACACUCAUUAUCAGCUUGCGCAUCUAACUGCUGUUAUCAUGGUGCUACUUAACUAUCUCCGCAGCACCCCCUCUGGAAAUGGAAAUGCGGGGUCCCCCCCGAUACAAAAUCUGCCCCGUGAACGUGUGUAUUGACGCCUCUACACAGCCAAAACCCCCCUCCAGCUUUCAGUCUGAGGAAGAUGUCACCUUCUCUGACCUGGUCCCCGACCAUUCUUCCCACUUCUCACCUGCCAGUCCGCCCCACUCUCAGUGGUCCUCUCACUUCACCUUUGCUGACUUUCCCAUGUCCCCAGGAUGCACACCAUUUUCUUCCCCCCACCACUCUCCUCAAGAUUACGCACCCACCAGUCCUGUGAAUUAUCAAUAAAACUACAUAUUACUCAUACUAAGUGUCCCUCAUGUUUAUUUCAUGUCAUUUUUAUCCACAACACAGCCCACUUGAAGUACAUCGACAAUGUCUCGAGAGUCCUUGAAUGGAUGAAAUCACUGUGCCAGCGGUACAAGGUCACUCCGGCCAAGUUAUUUCUGAUGCGUGUUUCCAAGUUCCUCCAUUAACUCGAUGAGUAACUGUCCAAGGGCUGAGUUGGCUCCACGAGGCUGUGGAGUCUCCAGAGACUGCUGCAGUGGGAGUGCAGACAUCUGUCCGGUCGAGUCGUGCUCCACAGGCAAGGCGUGCGAGCGGAGAAGAGUGAGGGAGUACUUACAGCUCCUGCACGGCAAACUGUUGGACGCUGUCCCUGUUUCACUGGCUGAUCUGAACUCGUCCAGCAGACCCGGACAUGCUCAACCAUUGCAUCGGGCUGCUGUGUGCUCACUUCUUUUCGGUCAGCGGACACAGGACCGGAGUCCUGCAGAACCUCACGACUGAGGAGUUUGAGAACCUCGAGAAGGCUGACUCUUUCUGAUCAAUGUGAAGCAGCACAAACCUGCCUCUGCUUUUGGACUCGCUAAGCUAGCCGUCACCAAGCUGGAGCUGAAGUGGCUGAAAGCUUUCUGCCGCCUGAGGAAGCAUAUGCCGGGAUAUGAGACUUCUGUGGGGUGGCUUUUCUUUUCUGGCACACAGACCAGGAUUUCUGCGCAUGUCAAGCUUGCCCUGCGGGCACUCGUGGGAAGAGACAUCACUGUGUCGGACAUCCGCACAGCUCUAGCAACCUACUGCGAACGCAAAAGACGAACAACGCAUGCUUGUGACCAAGACGAUGUGCUACAGCAAUUAGCUGAGUCGUGGAGCUGUCGGUCAGCGAGGCGCACUCCGCCCAGUCUGCGCUAGAGUCCGCUGCGGGCAUAGGUGCUACAUAGGCCGGUUGUUUUUGGCUAAUGGCCCUGUGUGUGUGUGUGUGUGUGUGUGUGUGUGUGUGUGUGUGUGUGUGUGUGUGUGUGUGUGUGUGUG